UACUGAUGAAUUUCUUUCGGUUUCAUUUCCUUUAAUGGAGCUGCCUGCUACAAAUGAGCAAAAAUUGCAUGUACAAAAUGUAGGAAGAGAAGUUAGUUCUAAGGUCAAACAAAAUGGAGUUUUCUCCAAUUCUUAAUGCCUAUUUUUGUAUGUAUGCUCUUCUUUCUAACUAAGCAUUGUUCACGUCAAGUUGUAGCAGAUUGAUGAAGGCUUCUUCUCUGCACGGAAUAGUGAGGCCUCCCAUUUGGUGAUGGAACCCAAAUUCUUCUUCAGCUUUCGUAAGGAGAUUCUGGAACGAUGGAUUUUGCAGAUAUGAUAUCGGAAUCACAAAUCGCCUUUUCUGGCACUCCCCAACAUAGACUGCAACAUGUCCUUUAGGGACGCCGACUGCUUUUGAAAUCGCUCGUGCCUUGGGAAGGAUCUGCUUGAGGAAUUGGAUUGCCAUGAGUGCCUGUUUUUGAUGGAUACUCGGAGAAACUUGAAGAGGAAUGGAGAAAGAAGAAAGAAUAAGAGAACCCUACAUGAACAACAACCAGAAAUUAAUUGGAAGGUAGAGAUUGAAAUAGAAGAUAUUCACAAGAUUGAUGAAUGCUUCUUCUCUGCACGGAAUAGUGAGGCCUCCCAUUUGGUGAUGGAACCCAAAUUCUUCUUCAGCUUUCGUAAGGAGAUUCUGGAACGACGGAUUUUGUAGAUAUGAUAUCGGAAUCA